GCGAACGCUGGCGGAAUGCUUAACACAUGCAAGUCGCGCGGUCAGCAAUGGCAGCGGCGGACGGGUGAGUAACGCGUAGGAAUGUGUCUUGAGGUGGGGGACAACCCUGGGAAACUGGGGCUAAUACCGCAUAUGGCCUGAGGGUCAAAGCAGCGAUGCGCCUUGAGAGCAGCCUGCGUCCGAUUAGCUUGUUGGUGGGGUAAAGGCUUACCAAGGCGACGAUCGGUAGCUGGUCUGAGAGGACGAUCAGCCACACUGGGACUGAGACACGGCCCAGACUCCUACGGGAGGCAGCAGUGGGGAAUAUUGGACAAUGGGCGCAAGCCUGAUCCAGCAAUUCCGCGUGGGUGAAGAAGGUCUUCGGAUUGUAAAGCCCUUUCGACGGGGACGAUGAUGACGGUACCCGUAGAAGAAGCCCCGGCUAACUUCGU
rnacentral:rRNA from 1 species